UAAUACGUAGGUGGCAAGCGUUGUCCGGAUUUACUGGGCGUAAAGAGCGCGCAGGCGGUCGUUCAAGUCGCGUGUGAAAGCCCCCGGCUCAACUGGGGAGGGUCACGCGAUACUGAUCGACUCGAAGGCAGGAGAGGGUAGUGGAAUUCCCGGUGUAGUGGUGAAAUGCGUAGAUAUCGGGAGGAACACCAGUGGCGAAGGCGACUACCUGGCCUGUUCUUGACGCUGAGGCGCGAAAGCUAGGGGAGCAAACGGGAUUAGAUACCCCGGUAGUCCUGGCCCUAAACGAUGAAUGCUUGGUGUGGCGGGUAUCGAUCCCUGCCGUGCCGAAGCUAACGCAUUAAGCAUUCCGCCUGGGGAGUACGGUCGCAAGGCUG
rnacentral:rRNA from 1 species